GAUGAAGAACGCAGCGAAAUGCGAUAAGUAGUGUGAAUUGCAGAAUUCAGUGAAUCAUCGAAUCUUUGAACGCACAUUGCGCCCGAUGGUAUUCCGUCGGGCAUGCCUGUUCGAGCGUCAUUUCAACCCUCAAGCGCAGCUUGGUGUUGGGUGCUUGUCCCGCCUCCGCGCGGCGACUCACCUCAAAGUCAUUGGCAGCCCGCAUCCGCCGGCCGUGAGCGCAGCACAGUCGCGCCCUAGGCCCCGGCGGAUCGGCUCUCCAGAAGCUACCCCCCAAUGUUGACCUCGGAUCAGGUAGGGAUACCCGCUGAACUUAAGCAUAUCAAUAAGCGGAGGA
rnacentral:misc_RNA from 1 species